rnacentral:ncRNA from 1 species
CGGUGGCGAAGGCGGAUCUCUGGGCCAUUACUGACGCUGAGGAGCGAAAGCGUGGGGAGCGAACAGGAUUAGAUACCCUGGUAGUCCACGCCGUAAACGGUGGGCACUAGGUGUGGGCAACAUUCCACGUUGUCCGUGCCGCAGCUAACGCAAUAAGUGCCCCGCCUGGGGAGUACGGCCGCAAGGCUAAAACUCAAAGGAAUUGACGGGGGCCCGCACAAGCGGCGGAGCAUGUGGCUUAAUUCGACGCAACGCGAA